rnacentral:rRNA from 1 species
UACGGUUCCCGGGCCUUGUACACACCGCCCGUCACACCACGAAAGUCGGUAACACCCGAAGCCGGUGGCCCAACCCUUGUGGAGGGAGCCGUCGAAGGUGGGAUCGGCGAUUGGGGUG